CCUACGGGAGGCAGCAGUGGGGGAUAUUGCACAAUGGGGGAAACCCUGAUGCAGCGACGCCGCGUGAGUGAAGAAGGAUUUCGGGAUGUAAAGCUCUAUCAGCAGGGAAGAAAAUGACAGUACCUGACCAAGAAGCCACGGCUAACGACGGGCCAUCAGCCGCGGUAAUACGUAGGGGGCAAGCGUUAGCCGGAUUUACGGGGAGUAAAGGGAGCGUAGACGGUUAGUUAAGGCUGGAGUGAAAGCCCGGGGCCCCACCCCGGGACUGCUUUGGAAACUGUGUAACUGGAGUACAGGAGGGGCAGGCGGAAUUCCUGGUGUAGCGGUGAAAUGCGUAGAUAUCAGGAGGAACACCGGCGGCGAAGGCGGCCUGCUGGACUGCAACUGACGUUGAGGCUCGAAAGCGUGGGGAGCAAACAGGAUUAGAUACCCGAGUAGUC
rnacentral:rRNA from 1 species